GCGGAUACUUUAGCGGGGCUGCCCCGCACAAAACAACCCAGCCCCAGACGCAA
rnacentral:ncRNA from 1 species